CACAUUCGGGGCGCUUCGGCGCUCCUUAUACACCCACCCUCUGUCCUACGUGUACCUCUAUAGCUUCCUCGGCGGGCUCGCCCGCCGCCAGGAACCCACGAAACCCCUUGCAUUAUACGCGAAAACUUCUGAUAACAAACCUAAAUUAUCAC
rnacentral:misc_RNA from 1 species